rnacentral:rRNA from 1 species
UGGGGAAUAUUGGACAAUGCGGGAAACCGUGAUCCAGCAAUGCCGCGUGAGUGAUGAAGGCCUUAGGGUUGUAAAGCUCUUUUACCAGGGAUGAUAAUGACAGUACCUGGAGAAUAAGCUCCGGCUAACUCCGUGCCAGCAGCCGCGGUAAUACGGAGGGAGCUAGCGUUGUUCGGAAUUACUGGGCGUAAAGCGCGCGUAGGCGGUUUGCCAAGUUGAGGGUGAAAUCCCGGGGCUCAACCCCGGAACUGCCUUCAAAACUGGCCGACUUGAGUCCGGAAGAGGAGAGUGGAAUUCCCAGUGUAGAGGUGAAAUUCGUAGAUAUUGGGAAGAACACCGGUGGCGAAGGCGACUCUCUGGUCCGGUACUGACGCUGAGGUGCGAAAGCGUGGGGAGCAAACAGGAUUAGAUACCCCCGUAGUCC